GUGGCUUCGGCUACCUCCGCCGUUCGCUGCUGUACCAACUGUAGCUUCGGCGGUAUUGCCCCGGGUGCCUCCUGGGCCCCGGAUCUCGCGCCCGCAUCCACAAUAUAAAUCUUUUUUAUUUUUGUGCUCUUCUGAUCAGUAUUUACAAUGUAAUUCAUUUAUUACUUUCAGCAUCGGAUGUCUUGGGUCUGGAAUCAAAAAACAACGCAAUGAAAUGCGAUACGUAAUGUGAAUUGCACAAUUCAUCGAAUCAUCUAAUCUUUGAACGCGCAUUGCGCCCUUUGCUAUUCCAAAGGGCAUGCCUGUUGUCAUUUCAUUCGUACCCUCCAGCUUUGCUUGGUGUGGGCGUUUUUGUCUUUGGCCCGGGAAAACUCGCCUUUAAAUCUAUGACAUCACCCCUACUGCCUCCUAACACAACACAUUUUUUCUCUUGCGAACAGCAAUAAACCCAUGCCUCCAUCAAGACCCUUUCUCACGUUUGAUUUCGAAUAAGGUAGGAAUCCCCGAU
rnacentral:rRNA from 1 species